GUGUUAGUGCUUCGGCUAUUGCAUCAUACUAUGGGUGUUCAUCAUUUGGACAUUUUAGUGAACCCAUGUAUUGAUGCUUGUAUCUCUAAAAGUGAAAAAAAAAGUAAAAUUGUUAGUUGCCUAUUCACCCCCGCUUUCUAGUCGACCAUACCGAUCUUUCAGAAGGUACAUCGCAACCAGUCGACGUGUGGUGAUCGCGGCGACAACGGGCUCAAUUCAGGCGGCAACUCUGGUGGUAAGAAAAAGAAACACCGCAAAUUUGAUAAGAGCAAAAUUAAAUGCUUUAAUUGUGAUGACAUGGGCCACUUUACCUCUGAAUGCCGUGAACCAAGA
rnacentral:lncRNA from 1 species